rnacentral:rRNA from 1 species
AUGAACGCUGGCGGCGUGCUUAACACAUGCAAGUCGAGCGAGAAGUUUUGAAAAGAUUCUUCGGAUGAAAUUUAAAAUGGAAAGCGGCGGACGGGUGAGUAACGCGUAGGCAACCUGCCCCAUACAAAGGGAUAGCAUUUGGAAACGAAUAUUAAUACCUUAUGAAACUUAACUAGUGCAUGCUAGGUAGGUCAAAGAUUUAUCGGUAUGGGAUGGGCCUGCGUCUGAUUAGCUAGUUGGUGAGGUAACGGCUCACCAAGGCGACGAUCAGUAGCCGACCUGAGAGAGUGAACGGCCAGAGUGGAACAGAGACACGGUCCAAACUCCUGCGGGAGGCAGCAGUGAGGAAGAUUGCACAAUGGGAGAAACCCUGAUGCAGCAACGCCGCGUGAACGAUGAAGGCCUUUGGGACGUAAAGUUCUGUUCUAGGUGAUGAAGACUGACAGUAACCUAGGAGAAAGCCCCGGCUAACUCCGUG